rnacentral:rRNA from 1 species
AGAGUUUGAUCCUGGCUCAGGACGAACGCUGGCGGCGUGCCUAAUACAUGCAAGUCGAGCGAAUCUUUGGGAGCUUGCUCCCAUUGGUUAGCGGCGGACGGGUGAGUAACACGUGGGCAACCUGCCUGUAAGACUGGGAUAACUUCGGGAAACCGGAGCUAAUACCGGAUAUCCCUAUCGGACCGCAUGAUCCAAUAGGG